UGGACAGAUUAUUGUAUUCGACUGUAUUUAACUGUAUUCACGGCAUGAAAUAGGGGAUUACACUGUUUUUUAAAACGGAAAGUGAAUCAAUUAACAUAAUAAACUCCU
rfam:Nicotiana sylvestris Nsyl_contig129182, whole genome shotgun sequence.